rnacentral:rRNA from 1 species
ACGAACGCUGGCGGCGUGCUUAACACAUGCAAGUCGAACGGUGAAGCGAGUGCUUGCACUCGUGGAUCAGUGGCGAACGGGUGAGUAACACGUGAGUAACCUGCCCAUCACUCUGGGAUAAGCACUGGAAACGGUGUCUAAUACUGGAUACGACCAACCCUUGCAUGGGGUGUUGGUGGAAAGAUUUAUCGGUGAUGGAUGGACUCGCGGCCUAUCAGCUUGUUGGCGGGGUAAUGGCCCACCAAGGCGACGACGGGUAGCCGGCCUGAGAGGGUGACCGGCCACACUGGGACUGCGAAACGGACCAGACUCCUACGGGAGGCAGCAGUGGGGAAUAUUGCACAAUGGGCGAAAGCCUGAUGCAGCGACGCCGCGUGAGGGAUGACGGCCUUCGGGUUGUAAACCUCUUUCAGCAGGGAAGAAGCGAAAGUGACGGUACCUGCAGAAGGAGCACCGGCUAACUACGUG